UCGAACGCUGAAGCUGGGUGCUUGCACCUGGUGGAUGAGUGGCGAACGGGUGAGUAAUACGUGAGUGACCUUCCUUGGACUCUGGGAUAAGCCCGGGAAACUGGGUCUAAUACCGGAUACGACCAGUCCUCGCAUGGGGUGCUGGUGGAAAGGGUUUGUACUGGUUCUUGAUGGGCUCACGUCCUAUCAGCUUGUUGGUGAGGUAAUGGCUUACCAAGGCGACGACGGGUAGCCGGCCUGAGAGGGUGACCGGCCACACUGGGACUGAGACACGGCCCAGACUCCUACGGGAGGCAGCAGUGGGGAAUAUUGCACAAUGGGCGCAAGCCUGAUGCAGCGACGCCGCGUGGGGGAUGACGGCCUUCGGGUUGUAAACCUCUUUCAGCAGGGAAGAAGCGAAAGUGACGGUACCUGCAGAAGAAGCGCCGGCUAACUACGUGCCAGCAGCCGCGGUAAUACGUAGGGCGCAAGCGUUGUCCGGAAUUAUUGGGCGUAAAGAGCUCGUAGGCGGUUUGUCGCGUCUGCUGUGAAAGCCCGGGGCUCAACCCCGGGUGUGCAGUGGGUACGGGCAGGCUGGAGUGCAGUAGGGGAGACUGGAAUUCCUGGUGUAGCGGUGAAAUGCGCAGAUAUCAGGAGGAACACCGAUGGCGAAGGCAGGUCUCUGGGCUGUUACUGACGCUGAGGAGCGAAAGCAUGGGGAGCGAACAGGAUUAGAUACCCUGGUAGUCCAUGCCGUAAACGUUGGGCACUAGGUGUGGGGG
rnacentral:rRNA from 1 species